UACAGAGGGUGCAAGCGUUGCUCGGAAUUACUGGGCGUAAAGCGUGCGCAGGCGGUGAUGUAAGACAGGUGUGAAAUCCCCGGGCUUAACCUGGGAACUGCAUUUGUGACUGCAUCGCUGGAGUGCGGCAGAGGGGGAUGGAAUUCCGCGUGUAGCAGUGAAAUGCGUAGAUAUGCGGAGGAACACCGAUGGCGAAGGCAAUCCCCUGGGCCUGCACUGACGCUCAUGCACGAAAGCGUGGGGAGCAAACAGG
rnacentral:rRNA from 1 species